UACGUAGGGCGCAAGCGUUGUCCGGAAUUAUUGGGCGUAAAGAGCUCGUAGGUGGUUUGUCGCGUCUGCCGUGAAAGCCCGGGGCUUAACUCCGGGUCUGCGGUGGAUACGGGCAGACUAGAGGCAGGUAGGGGAGAACGGAAUUCCUGGUGUAGCGGUGAAAUGCGCAGAUAUCAGGAGGAACACCGGUGGCGAAGGCGGAUCUCUGGGCCGAUACUGACGCUGAGGAGCGAAAGCGUGGGGAGCGAACAGG
rnacentral:rRNA from 1 species